CAGUAGCCACGGUAACACGUAGGGUGCAAGCGUUAAUCGGAAUUACUGGGCGUAAAGCGUGCGCAGGCGGUUAUAUAAGACAGAUGUGAAAUCCCCGGGCUCAACCUGGGAACUGCAUUUGUGACUGUAUAGCUAGAGUACGGCAGAGGGGGAUGGAAUUCCGCGUGUAGCAGUGAAAUGCGUAGAUAUGCGGAGGAACACCGAUGGCGAAGGCAAUCCCCUGGGCCUGUACUGACGCUCAUGCACGAAAGCGUGGGGAGCAAACAGGAUUAGAUACCCCGGUAGUCCCUGUCUCUUAUAC
rnacentral:rRNA from 1 species